UACGGAGGGUGCGAGCGUUGUCCGGAAUCACUGGGCGUAAAGGGCGCGUAGGCGGCUCAUGAAGGCUGUGGUGAAAGUCCGGGGCUCAACCUCGGAUCGGCCGUGGCGACUCGUGGGCUGGAGCACUGUAGAGGCGGGUGGAAUUCCUGGUGUAGCAGUGAAAUGCGUAGAUAUCAGGAGGAAUACCGAUGGCGAAGGCAGGUCUCUGGGCUGAUACUGACGCUCAUGCACGAAAGCGUGGGGAGCAAACAGG
rnacentral:rRNA from 1 species